UCCGUAAGAUCUAUACAGAUCAAGUUGAUCUGUAAGAAACAUACAGAUCAAGUUGAUCCGUAAGAAACAUACAAAUCAAGUUGAUCCAUUUGAGUCAUACAGAUCAACUUGAGUGAAGGACAUUUUCGCUCAUUCACUUAAAAUACUGGGUGCACCUAACAUCACCCUUGUCAAGAUCUGAUAAAAGAAUGCAAAUAGGGUGUUGCUAGGUG
rnacentral:lncRNA from 1 species